rnacentral:snRNA from 1 species
GUGGUUGCUUCGGCAGCACAUAAACUAAAACUGGAACGAUAACAGAGAUUAGUAUGGCCCUUGCACAAGAAUGACAUGUAAAUUCAUGCAGCAUUCCAUAAUUUU